AGAGUUUGAUCCUGGCUCAGGAUGAACGCUGGCGGCGUGCCUAACACAUGCAAGUCGAACGGGAACUUUGGAAUGAAGGUUCGCUGGAUUUCCAAAAAUUCUAGUGGCGGACGGGUGAGUAACGCGUGGGUAACCUGCCCUUAAGAGGUGAAUAACAGUGAGAAAUUAUUGCUAAUACACCAUAUGCUUACAGUACCGCAUGGUACAGUGAGGAAAAGAAUUUCGCUUAAGGAUGGACCCGCGUUUGAUUAGCCAGUUGGCAGGGUAAAAGCCUACCAAAGCAACGAUCAAUAGCCGGCCUGAGAGGGUGAACGGCCACAUUGGAACUGAGACACGGUCCAAACUCCUACGGGAGGCAGCAGUGGGGAGUAUUGCACAAUGGGCGCAAGCCUGAUGCAGCAACGCCGCGUGAGUGAAGAAGUAUUUCGGUAUGUAAAGCUCUAUCGAUGGGGAAUAAGAUGAAGGUACCCAAGUAAGAAGCCCCGGCUAACUACGUGCC
rnacentral:rRNA from 1 species